UACCAGCACCCCGAGUGGUCGGGACGUUUAUUGGGCCUAAAGCAUCCGUAGCCGGUUCUACAAGUCUUCCGUUAAAUCCACCUGCUUAACAGAUGGGCUGCGGGAGAUACUAUAGAGCUAGGAGGCGGGAGAGGCAAGCGGUACUCGAUGGGUAGGGGUAAAAUCCGUUGAUCCAUUGAAGACCACCAGUGGCGAAGGCGGCUUGCCAGAACGCGCUCGACGGUGAGGGAUGAAAGCUGGGGGAGCAAACCGG
rnacentral:rRNA from 1 species